rnacentral:hammerhead_ribozyme from 1 species
AUCUAUCUGAUGAGUCCUAAGUAGGACGAAAUGCGCGUCCUGGAU